CGCAGGUUCCCAUCAGGAUUCGAACCUCCACCCUGCCGAUGGAAGCAAGACAAUAUUGAUUGAUCCACCAGUUGAGCUGUGCUCCGAGGGGCGCACGUGAGCUAUUUAUUAACUUUUCAAGAAGUUGUCAACCGCAUCAUUUCAUCCAACAUGAUCUAGGAAUGGUGGAACAAUCCAAAACGUGAAUCACUUGCAUCCAUGCUUAAAUUUUUCUCUCCAUUGGCAAGAUAUGAACUCACCAUAGAACAAUAUGAAUAAGCAAGGGGUUUUACAAUUCUUAAAAUUACUAGGUGUACAAUAGAACUACAUAAUUAGACAUCGAAAAGUAAUGAACAUUCUAUUAUUGAUAUAAACUUGUGGAACAAUACUUUUUAUUACACUUAUUUAUCCGAAUAAUGCGCAUACAGAAAAAAAGGUCUUAACUUCUCAGCAGUCAGAAGACGCAUCUUGCCAACUGAGUUCAUGGCACCUUGGGAUGCUUUUAUUGAGUUGAUUUAACAACUUCAAUUCUUGCCAAUGUCAAGAAAACCAUCAACUCACAAAAGGGUAUCAAAGUACCAAAUUGUGUAUUGCAGUUUCUACAGAUAUCAGCAUAAAUUUGAUUAAGAGAUGCACGUUAAUGAUAAUCUUUCAAUCUAACCUUGGAUAUCAUGAUUCAUGAAGUUAUAGUGGUGUUAAUGAAAUUAGAUUAUCGCAUACCGUAUAUGUAGUUUAAAAAAUCGAUUUUAAGCAUACCGUAUAUGCAAUAUGCCGUAUAU
rnacentral:lncRNA from 1 species